AUUGAACGCUGGCGGCAUGCUCUACACAUGCAAGUCGAACGGUAACAGGGUGCUUGCACCGCUGACGAGUGGCGAACGGGUGAGUAAUGCGUCGGAACGUGCCGAGUAGUGGGGGAUAACGCAUCGAAAGGUGUGCUAAUACCGCAUACGUACUGAGGUAGAAAGUGGGGGACCUUCGGGCCGCACUCUAUUCGAGCGGCCGACGUCUGAUUAGCUAGUUGGUGAGGUAAAGGCUCACCAAGGCGACGAUCAGUAGCGGGUCGGAGAGGAUGAUCCGCCACACUGGGACUGAGACACGGCCCAGACUCCUACGGGAGGCAGCAGUGGGGAAUUUUGGACAAUGGGCGCAAGCCUGAUCCAGCCAUGCCGCGUGUCUGAAGAAGGCCUUCGGGUUGUAAAGGACUUUUGUCCGGGAGCAAAUACCCAGUGCUAAUAACGCUGGGGGCUGAGAGUACCGGAAGAAUAAGCACCGGCUAACUACGUGCCAGCCGCCGCCGUAAGAC
rnacentral:rRNA from 1 species